UACGUAGGGUGCAAGCGUUGUCCGGGAUUAUUGGGCGUAAAGAGCUUGUAGGCGGUUUGUCGCGUCUGCUGUGAAAUUUCGGGGCUCAACCCCGAACUUGCAGUGGGUACGGGCAGACUAGAGUGUGGUAGGGGAGACUGGAAUUCCUGGUGUAGCGGUGAAAUGCGCAGAUAUCAGGAGGAACACCGAUGGCGAAGGCAGGUCUCUGGGCCACUACUGACGCUGAGAAGCGAAAGCAUGGGGAGCGAACAGG
rnacentral:rRNA from 1 species